rnacentral:rRNA from 1 species
UACAGAGACUGCGAGCGUUAUUCGGAUUCACUGGGCGUAAAGGGUGCGCAGGCGGCUGAGUGUGUCAGGUGUGAAAGCCCGAGGCUUAACCUCGGAAUUGCGCCUGAAACUACUCAGCUAGAGUAUUGGAGAGGGUAGCGGAAUUCACGGUGUAGCAGUGAAAUGCGUAGAUAUCGUGAGGAACACCAGAGGCGAAGGCGGCUACCUGGACAAUAACUGACGCUCAGGCACGAAAGCGUGGGGAGCAAAAGGG